AAGGGCGCAUGGUGGAUGCCUUGGCAACAGGAGCCGAAGAAGGACGUGGGAAUCUGCGAUAAGCCUGGUGGAGUCGAUAACCGGACGUUGAGACCAGGAUUUCCGAAUGGGGAAACCCCGCACGACGUGUCGUGUGACCCCCGGUUGAACACAUAGACCGGGUGGAGGGAACGUGGGGAAGUGAAACAUCUCAGUACCCACAGGAAGAGAAAACAAAAGUGAUUCCGUUAGUAGUGGCGAGCGAACGCGGAUGGGGCUAAACCGUAUGUGUGUGAUACCCGGCAGGGGUUGCAUGUGCGGUGUUGUGGGCCCCUCCUUGUCAUGUCUGCCGGCAUGGCGCAGUGAGGUGCGGGCAUAUAGACGAACCAGUGUGGAUGCUGGACCGUAGAGGGUGAGAGUCCCGUAGUCGAAAUGUGUUCCGCCGCUGUUGGGGGGUUGCCCGAGUAGCACGGGGCCCGAGGAAUCCCGUGUGAAUCUGCCAGGACCACCUGGUAAGCCUGAAUACUACCUGUUGACCGAUAGCGGAUCAGUACCGUGAGGGAAUGGUGAAA
rnacentral:rRNA from 1 species